UUAUCUUCGGGGUAAGGUGUAAUUCCUAACCGGCGGUUAUAGUCCGUGAGCGCAAGCUGAUUUGGUGAAAUUCCAAAACCGACAGUAUAGUCUGGAUGGGAGAAGAUA
rnacentral:ncRNA from 1 species